UACGGAGGGUGCAAGCGUUAUCCGGAUUUACUGGGUUUAAAGGGUGCGUAGGUGGGUAUUUAAGUCAGCGGUGAAAUCUCCAGGCUUAACCUGGAAAUUGCCAUUGAUACUAUUUAUCUUGAAUUAUCUGGAGGUGAGCGGAAUAUGUCAUGUAGCGGUGAAAUGCUUAGAUAUGACAUAGAACACCAAUUGCGAAGGCAGCUUACUACACAGUGAUUGACACUGAGGCACGAAAGCGUGGGGAUCAAACAGG
rnacentral:rRNA from 1 species